GCAUGGAUAGCUCAGCUGGUUACGGCAUGGUGCUGAUAAUGCCAAGGUUGCAGGUUCGAUCCUUGCAUGGGACAGCUGCA